UCCGUGGUGGCUUAGCUGGUAAAGAAUCCGCCUGCAAUGUGGGAGACCCUGGGUUCGAUCCCUGGUUUGGGAA
rnacentral:tRNA from 1 species